GUCUUUAUGACAGUACCAUUUAAAAGUUCAAACAAACCCCUGGCUCCUGUGACCAAAUGUUUUUUGCCCGUUUGCUUUUGCCUCAGAAGACCCAUACUGAUGAUCCUGAUUCAGAUAAAAAAUUAAAAAAUACAGUUGUAUCCCAAUAUGUGUCUUUAUUACAGUACCAUUAAAAGUUCAAACAAACCCCUGGUUCCUGUGACCAAAUGUUUUUUGCCCGUUUGCUUUUGGCUCAGAAGACCCAUACUGAUGAUCCUGAUUCAGAUAAAAAA